rnacentral:lncRNA from 1 species
CCUCGUCCUAUCACUCCCUUGGAAUUCUUGCUUCAGCAUAUCCCAAGCUUCUUUGGCAGAUUCAUUUGUCAUGAUCCUGGUAAAAAUUGAAUCUGAGACAGCUGCGUGAAUGAAAGACAGGGCUUUUGGACCUUUUGUGAUCUCUUCUUCAUGACUUCUGAUCUGCUGAAGAGUUGGGUUUGCUCUCAAAGGUUCUGGAGCGCUGUCUUCCUCAACAUACUUCCAUAAUCCAAGACCCUUCAAGUAUGUUUUCAUCUUCACUGCCCAAACUUGGUAGUUCUUGCCAUUAAAGAUAGGAGGUGAAAGGGGAGAGCUGCUAGAGGC